UACGGGGGGGGUAAGCGUUGUUCGGAAUUACUGGGCGUAAAGGGCUCGUAGGCGGCCAACUAAGUCAGACGUGAAAUCCCUCAGCUUAACUGGGGAACUGCGUCUGAUACUGGAUGGCUUGGAUUCGGGAGAGGAAUGCGGAAUUCCAGGUGUAGCGGUGAAGUGCGUAGAUAUCUGGAGGAACACCGGUGGCGAAGGCGGCAUUCUGGACCGAUAUUGACGCUGAGGAGCGAAAGCCAGGGGAGCAAACGGG
rnacentral:rRNA from 1 species